GAUGAACGCUGGCGGCGUGCCUAAUACAUGCAAGUCGAGCGAACAGACGAGGAGCUUGCUCCUCUGACGUUAGCGGCGGACGGGUGAGUAACACGUGGAUAACCUACCUAUAAGACUGGGAUAACUUCGGGAAACCGGAGCUAAUACCGGAUAAUAUAUUGAACCGCAUGGUUCAAUAGUGAAAGACGGUUUUGCUGUCACUUAUAGAUGGAUCCGCGCCGCAUUAGCUAGUUGGUAAGGUAACGGCUUACCAAGGCUACGAUGCGUAGCCGACCUGAGAGGGUGAUCGGCCACACUGGAACUGAGACACGGUCCAGACUCCUACGGGAGGCAGCAGUAGGGAAUCUUCCGCGAUGGGCGAAAGCCUGACGGAGCAACGCCGCGUGAGUGAUGAAGGUCUUCGGAUCGUAAAACUCUGUUAUUAGGGAAGAACAAAUGUGUAAGUAACUAUGCACGUCUUGACGGUACCUAAUCAGAAAGCCACGGCUAACUACGUG
rnacentral:rRNA from 1 species